rnacentral:rRNA from 1 species
GAUGAACGCUGGCGGCGUGCCUAAUACAUGCAAGUAGAACGCUGAAGCUUGGUGCUUGCACCGAGCGGAUGAGUUGCGAACGGGUGAGUAACGCGUAGGUAACCUGCUUCUUAGCGGGGGAUAACUAUUGGCAACGAUAGCUAAUACCGCAUAAAAGUCGAUAUCGCAUGAUAUUGAUAUGAAAGGUGCAAAUGCAUCACUAAGAGAUGGACCUGCGUUGUAGUAGCUAGUAUGUGAGGUAACGGCUCACCAAGGAGAAGAUAAAUAGGCGACCUGAGAAGGUGAACGGCCACACUGGGACUGGGACACCGCCCAGAAUCCAGCAGGAGGCAGCCGUAGGGAAUCUUCGGCAAUGGGGGCAACCCUGGCCGAGCAACCCGGCGUGAGCAAAGAAGGUUUUCGGGUCGUAAAGCUCUGUUGUAAGAGAAGAACGAGUGUAAGGGUGGAAAGUUCACGCUGUGACGGUAACUUACCAGAAAGGGACGGCUAACUACGUG